AGUCCCUUUGAGUUGCUGUACGGCAGGCCUUUUCUGGUUUCUCACAAUCUCCUGGCACAGGCACCUCCUCUGGCUUCCUACCUUCCCUACCUCUCUCUCCUCCGCCACUUACUCAGGGAACACACGGACCAUACUCUCCCCAUGGUUCCAGGACCAGAGGACUCCCACCCGAUUAUACCUCUCCAGCCAGACUCCUGUCAUUCGAGAAACGAUACCUAUGGUGGAUGCCCGUACACUUCUUUUGUUAUACACACAACUUUCAGAACUGACACCACCCCAUAAAGUAGAAUGCUCUUUGCCAACGACCAAGGUAAAGUGUCCCUUAUCAUCCAUGAUCCCUGGGAUGCCUGCUGGAAAAGGGGUACGGCAGG